GUAUGAGCACGCAUAUGCUAAAUCAAGACAAGACAUUCAAGCACGUCCAAGAAACGUGCAACACCGGCAAGCACAGCAAAAGUGGACAAUCUUUGUCUUGGGAAGGGACGCAUGAGGUAUGGCUUUAAUGGAAAGGCCUCAUCUGCAACGAAGUAGUAUGGCAGCUGACCAAGUCCAGGAACAUCGGAGGG